rnacentral:rRNA from 1 species
UACGGGGGGGGCAAGCGUUGUUCGGAAUUACUGGGCGUAAAGGGCUCGUAGGCGGCCAACUAAGUCAGACGUGAAAUCCCUCGGCUUAACCGGGGAACUGCGUCUGAUACUGGAUGGCUUGAGUUUGGGAGAGGGAUGCGGAAUUCCAGGUGUAGCGGUGAAAUGUGUAGAGAUCGGGAGGAACACCGGUGGCGAAGGCGGGUCUCUGGGCAUCUCCUGACGCUGAGGCGCGAAAGCGUGGGGAGCAAACGGG